UGUCAUAUAGUUUGCUUUCUGUUCUUCAUAUAAAUCCAUAAAACUCAUAAAAGGUUCAUCUUUUGUUUCAGAUACAAAUCAGCCGGUCUAAUCGUCCAUCGCAGCCGCCUAGCCGAUCGUCCGUCCGUCCUAUCUGUCCAAACCGAUCAAAAACCAAACCUCAGUCAAGCCAUCCGUGUAGUCUGAAUCCCAGCCUGCAACAUUUGGUAUCAGAGCCCAAGCACCUGAAUCUGGUGAUAUCUAUCCUUGCAUCAUAUCUUAUUGCAUUUGUUCACCAUUUAAAAUCAAUUAAAAAAAAAAAAUAUUCAUAGUGUUUACAUUUUCUGUCCGAUUGUGAAUUGCUUGUUCUUGGUUUUAAAACCAGAGAUAGGCACGAAAAGGAUAGCUCAUUAUCUUGUUUGAUUCAUUUAGAAAACUCAAAAAAAAUUUCCCUUGUUUGCAUUAAGUUGUCUAGCUCGAGUUUCCUUUUUCGGUUUAUUUGCAUCAAGCAUAAAAUCUUUUUUUUUUAAUUAUUGUUUUGUUUCUUUUAAAUUGAAAACCAAAAUAAAUAUUUAUUUCCAUUGUUUUAUUUUAUAGAUUUCGAGAUUUGCUUGAUAAAGUUAAAAAAAAAAAAAUAGGAGUUAAUUUUCCAUUUGUUUCAAAACUUUCAAAAAAAAAAAAACUAAGUUUCCA
rnacentral:lncRNA from 1 species